UGUGCAUCCUGGUCUGAUCUGAUUUGUUCAGAUUGUUUGAAUAGUCUAAGUGAAAAAAAAAAACAGUUAAAAACAAGGAGUCGGAUUAGUAGUUUACAAUUUAUUGGAAAUAUAAAGGUAAUCAAUACACAGAACAUGAGCAUGAAAGUGUUGUGUUGUCAUAAUGUUACAUGGUCACUGCUAAAAUUCACAGCACCAAGGACAACUUUUGGAGGGGUGGGCCCCCUCUUCCCCGGACGCAUACAGGCAACACCAUUAGAGGUUUCCCAACAUAAUAUUGUGUGUCUGAAUAAUCCAUACUCAAAAGAUAUAAGCCCAAAGUCUCUCUCAAACAGGUGUUUAACACUUCAACUGUGUAAGACAACACCUCUCUUUCUUGUACCUCUCAAAUACUUCUCUCUGCUCACUUAUCCUGAGACGCACAUACAUGCACCGGCCCACCCAGUUUUCCAGUUCUCAUUCUCAUUUUCACUCUUAUUCACAGUGUGUGUCCACUGAAUAGCUGGAAGGAUGAUUUAACAGCUGAUUGGUGCAUUCCUGUUCAUUCUUCAAACAAACAUCCAGCUGAAAACAUGUCUGCCAAGGUAGCAACCUCCUGACUGAUCCACCUCGCUGUGUAUUGUUGGGUCAUAAAACAGCUAAUGCACUGUAAAUAAACCGCACAUAUCCACCUGGAGAACUAAUUCAUUCCGAACAUGAGAAAGAGAAGGCUCUGCUUUCAGCUGAAAGUUUGCUUCUACAUACAAACUACAUAAAGUUGUCUUAAAAUAGAAUCUACAUGUAAUCUGGGAUAUUAUUGAAACAAUAGAGGGGUUGAGGUUGGUUAAGAGUUUAGGGUGCAGGGCGUAGUUAGAAAAUUGGGUAAAAGUUAAGAAUGUUGGGUGUAGGUUAAAAUUAGGGUGCAGGUCCAGGGAGUUGAUAAAAGAUUAGGGUUAGAAUGUUGGGAGUAGGUUAACCGUUUAGGGAGUUUAGGAAAAAAUGUUGAUUUAGAAUAUUGUGUGUAGGCCUAAGGCGUAGUAAAAGUCUGGGUGAAGGUUAACAAAUAAAGACUACAUCCACACGAAGCCAGAGCUUUCGCUAUUCAAUAUUUUUUUUUUCCCUCAUCUCAAGAAAUAUCUGCGUCCACACGAAACCGACACAAAAUGAUGUAGUAUACAUGCCAGAGCAGUAUGUGGCACUGUAAUUCUGCCACAGAGAUGCACUAAAAACAGAGAAGAAGACUUGGACUAUGCGAAAAAAUAUUGGUUUCACUCUCCCAAAAUGCCGGAUCCGUGUGGAUGAAACGCCUAUACCAGGGAUCUCCAACCUUACUCCUGGAGAGCUACCGUCCUGAAGACUUCAGUUCCAACCCUGCUCCAACACACCUGUCUGUAAUUAUCAAGUAGCCCUGAACACCUUGAUUAACUGGUUCAGGUGUGUUUGAUUGGGGUUGGAGCUGAAAUCUGUAGGACGGUAGCUCUCCAGGAGCAGGGUUGGAGAUGAAAUCUGUAGGACUGUAGCUCUCCAAGAGCAGGGUUGGAGACCACUGGCCUAUACGAUACAAAAUGUAUGCGUAUACAGCUAACUGCUUCUCCGUGUAGACAGGGCCCAAGAUGCUAGUCUAGGAAGCCAAUUAAUGUUUAGGUUUAGAAUACUGGGUGUAGGUCUAGGGCGUAGUAAAAAGUUUGGGUGAAGGUCUAGAAUGCUGAGUGUAGGUUAACAGAUUAGGAUGCAGGUCUAGGAAGUCAAUUUUUAGGAUUAGAAUGUUGGGUGAAGGUCUAAGGUGCAGUUAAAAGUUUGAGUGAAGGUUAUCAGUUUAGGUUGCAGGUCUAGGGAGUAGACCUAGAGUAGAGUUUAGGUAUAGAAUGUUGGGUGUAAGUCUAGGGUGUAGAUAAAAUUUUGGUUGGAGGUUUAGAAUGUUGGGUAUCUGUCUAGGGAAUAGGUCAAAUUUAGGUUUAGAAUUCAGGGUGUAGAUUAAGUGUUUAGGUCUAAGGCCAGGGGUCUCCAGCCCUUCUUUUGGAGAGCUACCUUCCUGCAUUCUUCAGUUCUAACCCUGCUUCAACACACCUGUCUGUUACUUUGACGUAAUCCUGAGCAACUUGAUUAGCUGUUGUGUUUGAAUAGGGUUGGAGCUAAAAUCUGCAGGAUGGUAGCCCUCCAUAAGCAUGACUGGCUGUCCCUUGUCUGGGCUGUAGGUGGUGGUUUAGAAUGUAGGGGUUUGUUAAGGGUUUAAGGUAUAGGGUAAGUGGGUAAGGUAUACAUAUGGGUCUUUACGGAAGUUACCAGGGAAGAUCAUGCUCAGGGAAUGUUGGAGCGGUUCCAUUGUUAGCAGCGUUUGCAGGGAAACCUCUUCCAAACAUGUCAUCACAUCUGUCUGGGUACAACAAAAACCCGCUGAAUGUGCUGCUGGCCUCGCUGCCGGUGAACAUGCCGUUAUUGCUGGUGUCUUUCACCUGCAGCCACACCCAGUCACCCUGGUUCAGACUCAGCAUAGUCUGCUGAGAGGCGAUGUUCAUUUCCACUGGUGUAGUUGUCCUCACUAUGGCCUCGAAGUUGUGGAAGAGUCCGACCUUUAGCAUACGGGUGGAUACUUGCAGGUGGUAGCUGAACACGUAGGUUCCGUUAACCGGGGCGGUGUAGACGCCAUUAUCAGGGUUGAAGUGCAGGUUUACAUUGUGGAUGACACGUUUGAAAGGCACUGGCCGGCUCGGUAUAGGAUAGGAAGUGAGUAAAGCAGCAGAGAAAGCAGAUUGCACAGAGGGUGAACAAGGUCCGGGCAUACCAGGCAUUCCCAUAUCUCCCUGACCACCUUUAGGUCCUGUGGCUCCAGUUUGACCCGUCAGCCCUGUCGGACCCUCGUCUCCCUUCUCACCCUUUACACCUGUUUGACCCUGGGCUCCUGGAGCACCAUCCUGACAAUUGCACAGGCCCUGUGGACCUUGGUCACCCUUCUUCCCUGGUACACCUGGAACGCCAGGCUCCCCCGCCACACCCGGAUCACCCUUCAACCCUUUGGGACCAGGGUUUCCAUUCAGCCCAGGUAACCCCCGUGCACCCACAGGACCAGGAAGACCUGGCUCACCUGCCGGCCCUGGUAUGGGCACACAGGUUUCCGGGCACUGACCAUCUUCUCCCUUUGGACCCUGUUCUCCCAUAGGACCAUAAAGACCACGGUCACCCUUCUCACCUG
ensembl:lncRNA